CGCCUUGCCAGCCCGCUCAGAAACUUAAAGGAAGUUGACGGGGGCCCGCACAAGCGGAGGAGCAUGUGGUUUAAUUCGAUGAUACGCGAGGAACCUUACCUGGGCUCGAACGUAAGAUGACUGUAGGUGAAAGCUUACAUCUCUUCGGAGCAUUUUACGAGGUGCUGCAUGGUUGUCGUCAGCUCGUGCCGUGAGGUGUCGGGUUAAGUCCCAUAACGAGCGCAACCCCUACUGCUAGUUGCCAGCGGGUCAUGCCGGGGACUCUAGCGGAACUGCCAGCGUAAGCUGCGAGGAAGGUGGGGAUGACGUCAAAUCAGCACGGCCCUUACGUCCAGGGCUACACACGUGUUACAAUGGCCAGUACAGAGGGCAGCCACCCCGCGAGGGGGCGCUAAUCCUAAAAGCUGGUCCCAGUUCGGAUCGGAGUCUGCAACCCGACUCCGUGAAGCUGGAUUCGCUAGUAAUCGCGCAUCAGCCACGGCGCGGUGAAUACGUUCCCGGGCCUU
rnacentral:rRNA from 1 species